ACUGUGUGUCUGCGUGAACCCACGGUAUUCUGUGUCAGACUUUGCUCAGGUAAGUCGAUGCACAGUCUCUGUUAACGUCCAGACACUACAAAUGAGAAUUUCACGUUUCUACAUGAUACUGGUUUGAGUUAUAUUUCAUUAAGAGGAUGUGAGUGGUUGAGAUAUUGACUUGAAAAUGCGUACAAUACAUAUGAUACCGUUGAACAAUAUAACGCUAAAGCUAUUAGCGUCGAGCUAACGCUAAAGCUAACAGCAUACUGUUAAUAAGGCUGAGUCAUGUGCUUGCUGAAAUACACAAUAUUGACUCAAUAUGUGAGCUGGCGUCAUGUUAUACACCGUGCCAGUUAAUAUUUACUUAAAAAAGUUCAUUAAUGUUGGUAGCGAUGGGGAUACUGCUAUUGUAAAGCAUUUGUUAAUGGGAGACGAUUGUGACGGUACCGCCGUUGCUAAAGGUAACAGACUGUUGAUUACUGUUACUUUGUCAUAUUAACAGCUGGGUCAUUGACACGGGGAUGUUAGCUGUUAAGCUCCUGAUUACGUUGUAUCAAUUUUGUAGAUAUUUUUGCUAAUACAGGUUAUCUUUACCAAGCACCUAGUUGUAACACAUUUGAAAUUAUAUUUUUUUAUGUGGUAAAAUAAUACAACAUGCUGUUGUAAUUAUUGAGGGGGUUAUUCAUGAUGGUAAUGAUAUAGAUAUUUGCAAUGUUAAACAUCACAUUAUCGACAUAUAUGCUCUACAAUCACAAGUUCAAAUAGAUAUAGAUUUAAUGGAUGGGUUGUAAGCUGCCUUCAAGCUUGUGAACCAGCUCCUCCUCUGUAUUUGCUUCUGUAGCUGCUCCUGAAAUUUAUCUACUACUGUACCGUAUGUUACCUUUAUAUGAUUUUGAAAUGAUUCAUAAAAUGUAUUCUGUGACAUUUUAAGCUGUGGCUAACAGUGAGGUGAUGUUUUAGAGCUGUUUCAUUUUCUAAUACUAUUAUGACUAAUAAUGUUGCUUUUCUCAUAGGCCUGCUGUUUUAAUGUACUAUGUAUCUGACAGAUAGCACUAAUGUAUUGUUUUUUGUCUCAAACAAACAGAAGAUUAUACCACUCCCGUGCGUUUAUUGGUAAGUAGAAGUGUUAUUACCAAAAGUGACAUCGUACUCUAAAAAUUAGCUGGAUGAAUGUUUUGCUUUAUCCUGGUAAACAACAACUCAUGAGACAUAUAUUUCAACAGAUGAUGCAUCUAAUAAAGACUGACUUUAAUUACAUAUUAAAUGUUGAUCUUUCUCUAUCACUACUGCAUAUCUCCUAUUAUACAUAUAUAUAUAUAUAUAUAUAUUGGAUACAUUUUUUCCUGGUGGACAAGUGUGUUAACAAUGUUACCACACAACUACAUUUGUUUAUUCAAAACAUUUCAACUUGCUGGGAAAGUGUGACUUCAUUUUCAUAAUAAUGAUGAGGGAAAAUCAUUUGGGAAAAUGAGUGAAUGAAGUGAGCUGUGAGGCUGUUUAUUUUAAAGAGUAUUAAAUAUCUGUUUUCUACAUUUUAAGCUUCAUGUUUUUCAGGCCAAGGUUGCUUCACUAUAAUCUUUCCAAUAAUUAUGUGGUAUAAAACAUGAACUUGGAUUAGAAAUGACAAAACUAAUGAUUGUCAAUGAAAAAUGGUUGUGCCUUCAAUUAAGUAUGACAUAAUGAUUGUUUUGCAACUACAUUUACAUUUUCCUCCUCUAUAAUUUCACUGCUUCUGAAAUUGGCUAUUCUAUCUCUUUAAUGCAGACCAUUGUGGCCAACUCAGCUGAAAGUUCACUAACACAAAUACAUGUUAAUGUGUGAAUACAUUUUUUUUACAACAAAUUAUGUAAAACCCUACAUCAUGACAUAAUUUCACAAACUGCUGCAUCUUUUCACUGAAUUGUAACAUUAACCAUUUCAAACUAUGCCUUAUCUUAAGUCAAGCUGAACCUAAUGUUAAUACGUUUGCUGCUUGAUAACAAUUGAAUGUUUAUUACAGUGUCAUGUUUUGUUUUUUGACAAUAAAACUCUAAAUGUUUCAUCUGUAUUUUUCCAUUUCCCCUCCUAGUGACUCAACCUUGUGUUUAAGUGCAGACCGCUUGCCAGUCAAUGUAAGUUUAUACAUGAAUGACAUUUUUAUGAAUAUCACUGUGUGCCUUUAUUGUACACAUUUUACACACACCUCUCUUUCUGUAGUUUCUACACAAUUGAGGUUACUUUCAUACACAUGAUAUUUGAUCACAUGCUUAUGAACAUUAUUAUUAAGGCAAUUAAAAUUGACUUAUAUAAGCAUUCAAGAUAAGUGGGUGAUACAUCUUUUCGUAAAAUACACUGAGCUCGUACAUACAUUUCGUCAUCUAUUUAGUAACAUUUUAGAUGUUCAGUCCUGAUACAUUUUUGAAAAGAUGAUCAAAUAAUGCUCAGUUUCAGCAUUUGACUCAACUACACUUUGAAUAGAUGUGUAUCAGAAUUCCCAUAUGUUACUUUGAAUGAAAGCACAUUAUAAUGACAUUGGUUUCGGGUGAAUGUCGGUUGAUUUAAAUGUUUUUAUUAUAUUUCAUACAAAUUAUUAAUAUUUAUUUCCAUUUUUCUUACAGAUAUCCUGUACUGUUCCUCCACUCUCUCCUAUCAUUUUGGACAUUCUGCCUUUCUAUCUCUCCUCUAUCCAACUCUGACUAUUUGAACAGCUAUUGCCAGCCUUUACAACCUAUUUUGAAAGCCUUUACCACAGCCUUUGACAGCCUUUAAAAACCGUUGUGAAAGCCUUUAAGAAAGGCUUUGACUGCCUUUGACAGCCUUUCUACCACUUUUAGAGCCUUAAAAAGAGGCAUUCAGACACUUUGAGAACACUUUUUGGAAACAAGCUUUUUUUUUUCAACUGAUCGCGUGUAAAAGCAAUACUUUUGAAACAGCAAAAUCUUUGAAAGUGCAAAAUCGGAAACAUCACAAUCUUUGAAACAGCUGUACUUUUAAAACAACUACUGUUAUAAAAAAGCACUAAUUUUGCACAAGUGUUAUUUUUCUUGUAGUUCUUCCUUUCCAUUGUGUUGCUCUACAGUUUCACCUGAAGAAGUUUCAUCACCAUCACCGGUCCUGCCUCAUUGAUUUUGAGUUUGAAAAAUAUACCUUUCAUAUUUUUGACUUGAAUAUUAUUUUAACAAAAAAGUCCUGACAUCUAAACAUUUGCUAUUGAUUUGUGUUUCUGUUAAAUAACAUAGUUUCUGAAAACAAUAAAGCAUUUCUGUCCACUCUGGUG
rnacentral:lncRNA from 1 species